GAUGAAGAACGUAGCGAAAUGCGAUACGUAAUGUGAAUUGCAGAAUUCAGUGAAUCAUCGAGUCUUUGAACGCACAUUGCGCCCUCUGGUAUUCCGGAGGGCAUGCCUGUCCGAGCGUCAUUGCUGCCCUCAAGCACGGCUUGUGUGUUGGGCUCCGUCCCCCGAUCCCGGGGGACGGGCCCGAAAGGCAGCGGCGGCACCGCGUCCGGUCCUCGAGCGUAUGGGGCUUUGUCACCCGCUCUGUAGGCCCGGCCGGCGCUUGCCGAUCAACCAAAUUUUUAUCCAGGUUGACCUCGGAUCAGGUAGGGAUACCCACUGAACUUAAGCAUAUCAAUAAGCGGAGGA
rnacentral:misc_RNA from 1 species